AAAUUGAAGAGUUUGAUCAUGGCUCAGAUUGAACGCUGGCGGCAGGCCUAACACAUGCAAGUCGAGCGGCAGCGGGAAAGUAGCUUGCUACUUUUGCCGGCGAGCGGCGGACGGGUGAGUAAUGCCUGGGAAAUUGCCCAGUCGAGGGGGAUAACAGUUGGAAACGACUGCUAAUACCGCAUGCACCCUACGGGGGAAAGCAGGGGACCUUCGGGCCUUGCGCGAUUGGAUAUGCCCAGGUGGGAUUAGCUAGUUGGUGAGGUAAUGGCUCACCAAGGCGACGAUCCCUAGCUGGUCUGAGAGG
rnacentral:rRNA from 1 species